UACAGAGGGUGCAAGCGUUAAUCGGAGUUACUGGGCGUAAAGGGCGCGUAGGCGGUUAAUUAAGUUGGAUGUGAAAUCCCUGGGCUUAACCUAGGACUGGCAUUCAAAAACUAGUUGACUGGAGUAUGGUAGAGGGUGGCGGAAUUUCCGGUGUAGCGGUGAAAUGCGUAGAGAUCGGAAGGAACACCCGUGGCGAAGGCGGCCACCUGGACCAAUACUGACGCUGAGGCGCGAGAGCGUGGGGAGCAAACAGG
rnacentral:rRNA from 1 species